ensembl:lncRNA
CUUCUCCAGGGGAUUUUCCCAAAGCAGGGAUAGAACCCAGGUGUCCAGCAAUAAAGGCGGAUUCUUUACCAGCUGAGCCACUAGGGAAGCCUUCUUCAGGGAAUCUUCCCAACCCAAGGGUCGAACCUGGGCCUCCUGCAUUGGCAAGCAGAUUCUUAGGCCACCUUAGGCUAAAGUAAAAGGGUGACAAAGCCCAUUUUAUCUCAUCCUUUAUGGGAUGAGAUAGAAUAAUGGCCCCACACAGCUGUCCAUGACCUAUUCCCAGAGUGACCUGUGACUGUGUUAGGUUAGAUGGCAAAGGGAUAUUAAGACUUCAGGGAAAAUUAAGGUUGCUCAUCAGCUGACCCAAAGCUAGGGAGAGCAUGAUUGGUUAUCCAGGUGGGUGUAAUAUAAUCACAGGGUCAUUACAAGUUGAAUAAGAAGGCAGAAGGGAGAGGGAUGCAAUGUGAGAAGAACUCAGCCAUUUGGUGCUGCCUUUGGAGUUGGGAAAAGGAAGCGUGAGCCCACGCGUGCUGGCAGCCUUUGGAUGCCGGGAGAGACAAGGACAUCAGUUCUCUGCUAGAGCUUCCAGGAAAAGAACAGCUUAGCCAACACCUUGGUUUUAGCCGAGUGAGACCUGAAGAACUGUAAGCUGUCCGUGGGGAUGUUUCCCAGUUGUUCUCCCAGCCAGAGAGGAAGCUUCGCAGUGAUGGUGCCACAGGCUCCACUGUAGCUGGCAUCUGAGCAGGACCCCAGCUGGUGGCUGGCUGCCUGACGUCAAGUUCCAGCUGGAUUGUGCUCCCUGCCUUGGUAUUACCUUGGCCCCAGGAACUGUAUCCCAUCACUGCUGGAUCCGCAGGGACCAUCAGUGAGCACCCCUAGUCCUGGCCACAUCCCAUGAAACAAGUUGGGGAUUGAACACUUGAGCCCUCAACAGCUGAUUCAAGACUCUUGUGGAGCCAUGCUCCUUACCUUCUUUCUCCUCUGAAAUUAUUUUUAUCAAGCUAAUGACCUUUGAAUCCUGAUAUGUAUUUUUUCUUCUUUGAAAGUUUUCUGGCCCACCCCAUCAG